AAGCCCUUAUUUUAUGAAAUGUUAAAGGGACUUAUCUAAGAAAAAAAGAUUAAAAAAAAAAACAUAUGUAGUAAAAGGACAGCAAACUCACAAUUAUUAACAACCACACCU